rnacentral:rRNA from 1 species
AGCAGUCGCCGCGGUAAUACGAAGGGUGCGAGCAUUACUCGGAAUUACUGGGCGUAAAGCGUGCGUAGGUGGUGGUUUAAGUCCGUUGUGAAAGCCCUGGGCUCAACCUGGGAAUUGCAGUGGAUACUGGGUCACUAGAGUGUGGUAGAGGAUAGUGGAAUUUCCGGUGUAGCAGUGAAAUGCGUAGAGAUCGGAAGGAACAUCUGUGGCGAAGGCGACUAUCUGGGCCAACACUGACACUGAGGCACGAAAGCGUGGGGAGCAAACAGGAUUAGAUACCCCAGUAGUCCCUGUCUCUUAUAU